CUCUUUCUGAUGCGUUCACAGUAAGGAAACAAACCUCUGUGAUUCCAUGCUGAACAGGGGGGAACUAAAUUGGCUCAGGCUCUUGCGUCAUGGGAAGCGUGAAGGUUUGAGUUGGCUGGCAAGGUGGUUGUAACCUUGGCACCUGGACAGAAACCCCUUUAUUCCAAGCCUUCUUCUACCUAGUAACUACUGGAGUUGGCUGCAUCAUCACAAGCUGCCCAGCACUCACCUCAGGCCUUCUCAGCCAUGAAGAAGAGAGCAGGCCAAACCCACAGCGGUUCACCAGUGUCCCAGGGCUCCCCGCUCUUAAUAGGCCACUGCUAGAAACAAGGAAGUCUCUGGCUCCCACCAGGAGUUAAUUAACAGAAGGAAAACACUUUUAAAGGCUGCCAAGCAAGCAAUCGACAGUGUCAGGCAAGGUUACCACUACACAAACUGAGCUCAGCUACACAACUUUUAGCCAGGAUCCACAACACGCACACACAGAGAGCUGCUGGCAAUCUCUGUGAAUGAGCAGCUCAUCAACAAAAUGCCUGAGGAAAGGGCAGUGGUUCAGCUGGGAAUCCAAGUUAUUUGCCUGUUAGCUAGGAUGGCAAGGCCAGGGGUUGCUUCAGACCUGUGGAGGAUCAACUAGAAUACAGGCACUGAGAAGUCUCAGGUCUGAAAACAUUCAGGUGAAGCAAGGAAAAGAACUAGUCAAGAUGGAGCGUCCUGAAUUAUGCCACUUAUCAUUGGGAUCCUACCCACAGGCAAAAGUCUGGGGGAAGAGGAUUGAUGCAAAUAUAGGGGCUCCCAUCUGAGUGUAUCCCCCAUGGAAUUGAUGGAUCACAGGGCGUUCCAAUGGGCGUUCCCUUUGGACAGCAGGUCAUAAAAGGCAAAAAGGAAAAGCCGGUUCCUCCAGCAGUCAGUAGCACUUGCAAGCAGCAGAAAACUUGAAUUGAGGACCUCAGUUCUAAUCUGCUCACUGAGGCUUCCCAUCCCGUCUCACGACAUUAAGCAAAACAGGAUUAUGAAGACAAGGAGAUAACAUCUGAUAUAGAUAUGGGGAGUUAUCAUGGGAGCAAAGACCUUGCAAAAAACUACGAUACCAACUCCUCAGGCUCACUUCUCAAUUUACAUUUUGUAUUCAGGAUACUUGCAUACAAAAGACAGACAUAUUGUGUCACCUAAGAUCAGCACACCUUUGUGAUUUCAACACACCUUUGUGAUUUUCUCAGUAAAUUCACUUAGGAGAGUGGGAAAGGUUGAUCUUUUCCCAACUGCUGCUUCUAUGCAAAUACACAGGUUUAAAUGCAUGAGAACCAUUUCCAGCAAAUAUAAGCAAUGCACAUUUUGUACUUAGCAAGCCCCAAAGUUAUAGAAUGAAUCAGAAUAUGAUCUGGGUUAUCUGGCGAUGUAUGAAGUAGAGCAACAUUGGGUUACAGUAGAAUAGCACCAAGGGGCAAUGGAUGAGAUUCUCUAUUUUUUAAAGUAAAAUGUUAAGUUUUUAAAAUGGAGGUUGCGAUCUGCAGACUUCUGCCCAAUCCUCUAACCUGAGCUUUAGACAGAUCUCACAAUUUAUGGCAAUAUCAGUGCUAUGUAGACAUACAUCUAAAUGCCUUGACUAUGUGGGCAUGCUUUUGUUUUUUAACCUCCUCACAGGGUGUCCCAGAAUACUGCAAUAUGUUGGUACCUUGAGUUCUAUCGCUAGUUACAUUUUAAAAAGAUAAUGGAGUGCUGAAGUUUUCUCUGGGUAUUUGUGGAAUAAAGUUAUCCUUCUGCAUUCUUUUCCACAAGUGCAAUGUGACAUUAGAUGCUGGAGCAGUUCAUAAGGACUUAGAUGCAGGGUUAACUUGGGCCAUAUAGGAGGACCAAAGAGCUGCACAGGGCUGCAUGUGGAGAGACAGGCAGCCUUUCAUCUUAGACAGCUGCUGCUUCACAUCUUUCCAUUUGGAGCCAGUUCUUUAAUGUGGUUAUUUUUAAUUUAUGAAGGAAUGGGCAGGGUUGGCUUAUAAUUUUGAUUCUCCUGUGUUAAAUGAGGGAAAAAAUGCUGCUCCCCUUAGGGGAAAAAAAGAUCAGGAUCAUGUUUAUCACUUUGUCUAAUGAAAAUGAACUAAUAUUCCUCUGGGCCAAUAUCUGGUAGCAGAGACCAAACAACCAGGCUUAGAUGUGCAUUUUAAGAGUUCUGCUAGUCAGAUUCCUGUGAACCAAACAUUUUAAGAAGUGAAGAGCCUCUUUAUGACACACAAAAGUUCAAGAACUUGUAUUUUGCACCAUGAUCCUGGAAUUGUACUUUGAAUUGUGGUUGACAGGACAUGCGUGUUGUUUUAAAUAAAACUAUUUUGGCUAAAGGGUUAGAUGCAUACCACUCCACUGGAGCUUCUUUUACCAUGACUAUGCUAGUAUAGUAAUAUUCACAUUUAGAUCAAUAUUUAACCUUCAAGAGGCUUAAGAAAUUUUAAACUGGACUCGGGUUUACCAUUUCUCUCCUGUCCUCCAUCCAUUUAAAAAAUAUUCCCUUGGUUUCAUGGAAUCCAUAAUCACUGCAUAGUCUCGGUAUUCUUAUGCAGGGGGUUUAUUGCUUUGCUUUGUUGUUGUUUUUAUUAUGUGUUUUUAUUUUGUAUUUUUAUGCUAUGAACCAUCCUGAGCUUUUCAGAUGAAGGGCAGUAUACAAAUUAAUUAAAUAAAUUAAAGGAAUGAAUAACAAAGUUUAGGGUAGUAAGUGCUACCAGUUUACAAUGCAAUGAACCUAAAAGAGGUGACUAAAUGUGGAACUGUAAAACAGUGACAUAAAGCACUCAGGCUUUUAGUUUCUGCCAAAAUCAGCAAAGGUAAGGCAAACAGUGACAAAGCACAGGAAAUGGUAUACUGUGUGCUCCAUCGUCAGGUGAAUACUAACAACAGAACAAAAACCUUCUGAGUGGUCAGGACACACUCUAAAAUAGUAAAGGAAUGGUAAUAUAUGCCCCAAGGUAAGCCAAAGCUUGCCAAAAAUUUAAGAUAAACAACAGGAGUUGGUUCACUAAAUGGCUAGCCUGUGGUAUAUUUUCCUUUGAUAUCCACUGUAACAUCCACUGUUCCUGUUCCUCCUCCUCCUCUUCUUCUUCUUCUUCUUCAUAUCUCACCUUUUCCCUGGCUUGGGACUCAAGGUGGCUUACAAAAAAAGUGCAAAAUACAGCUAAAACAGAAAAGCUAAAAACACAGAAAUCAUUAAAAAGUAAUUAAUCAAUAAUAUAAAAUAAAAUAACAACAAUAAAAACAUCACAGCAGCAGCUCUUUCCUUAAAAACAGGCAGUUCCUAAAGGCCUGUUGGAAUAAAAAGGAAGAGGACAAGAGGGAAGGAGCCAGUCUAACUUAUUCCAGGAAGAGAGUUCCAAAGUCAGGGAGCAGCCACCAAGGAGGCCCUCUUCUGCAUUCUCACAAGCACAUCUGUGAGGGUGGCGGGACUGAGAGAAGGGCCUCCCCCUGAAGAUCUCAGGGCCUGGGCAGGUUCAUAUGAGAUAAUAGGGUAUUGCAGAUAUAGCCUGGGCUAAGCCAUUCAUAUGCAGGUACUGUUCAUCAUGUGGAAGCUUGAAAAAUAUUUGAGUUUACAUCUGCACAAGGUGGUUUGAUAACAUAAGUGGUUUAAGGAUAAAGUGCUCAUUAGUUUAUGAGCAAAGCUUAGUUCAUAUUAUAUACCGGUAUUCUACCAGGUAGCAAGUGCUUGCAAAUGAUUUUAAAAACACAAUUACCCACCUGGAAGGGCUCUUUCAUGAGCUUUUACUGAAUGUAUGGUCCCCAAAGCAACUACUUGUGGUCUUAUCAUUGUGAGACAUCCUUCUUUCUCAGAUACAUGUAUA